rnacentral:rRNA from 1 species
GCUUACGGCCACACCACCCUGACGCGCCCGAUCUCGUCUGAUCUCGGAAGCUAAGCAGGGUCGGGCCUGGUUAGUACUUGGAUGGGAGACCGCCUGGGAAUACCAGGUGCCGUAAGCU